AGCGAAACGGGAAGAGCCCAAACCAACAAGCUUGCUUGUUGGGGUUGUAGGACACUCUAUACGGAGUUACAAAGGACGACAUUAGACGAAUCAUCUGGAAAGAUGAAUCAAAGAAGGUAAUAAUCCUGUAGUCGAAAAUGUUGUCUCUCUUGAGUGGAUCCUGAGUACGACGGAGCACGUGAAAUUCCGUCGGAAUCUGGGAGGACCAUCUCCUAAGGCUAAAUACUCUCUAGUGACCGAUAGUGAACCAGUACCGUGAGGGAAAGGUGAAAAGCACCCCGGAAGGGGAGUGAAAUAGAACCUGAAACCGUGUGCUUACAAGUAGUCAGAGCCCGUUAAUGGGUGAUGGCGUGCCUUUUGUAGAAUGAACCGGCGAGUUACGAUUUGAUGCAAGGUUAAGCAGUAAAUGUGGAGCCGUAGCGAAAGCGAGUCUGAAUAGGGCGUUUAGUAUUUGGUCGUAGACCCGAAACCAGGUGAUCUACCCUUGGUCAGGUUGAAGUUCAGGUAACACUGAAUGGAGGACCGAACCGACUUACGUUGAAAAGUGAGCGGAUGAACUGAGGGUAGCGGAGAAAUUCCAAUCGAACCUGGAGAUAGCUGGUUCUCUCCGAAAUAGCUUUAGGGCUAGCCUCAAGUGAUGAUUAUUGGAGGUAGAGCACUGUUUGGACGAGGGGCCCCUCUCGGGUUACCGAAUUCAGACAAACUCCGAAUGCCAAUUAAUUUAACUUGGGAGUCAGAACAUGGGUGAUAAGGUCCGUGUUCGAAAGGGAAACAGCCCAGACCACCAGCUAAGGUCCCAAAAUAUAUGUUAAGUGGAAAAGGAUGUGGCGUUGCCCAGACAACUAGGAUGUUGGCUUAGAAGCAGCCAUCAUUUAAAGAGUGCGUAAUAGCUCACUAGUCGAGUGACACUGCGCCGAAAAUGUACCGGGGCUAAACAUAUUACCGAAGCUGUGGAUUGUCCUUUGGACAAUGGUAGGAGAGCGUUCUAAGGGCGUUGAAGCAUGAUCGUAAGGACAUGUGGAGCGCUUAGAAGUGAGAAUGCCGGUGUGAGUAGCGAAAGACGGGUGAGAAUCCCGUCCACCGAUUGACUAAGGUUUCCAGAGGAAGGCUCGUCCGCUCUGGGUUAGUCGGGUCCUAAGCUGAGGCCGACAGGCGUAGGCGAUGGAUAACAGGUUGAUAUUCCUGUACCACCUAUAAUCGUUUUAAUCGAUGGGGGGAC
rnacentral:rRNA from 1 species